UAUUUUUUUCCAAAUCCAUUAAAUGUCUAUGGACUCAUCGUGCGCAGCCCACCGAGCUAAUUAAGUGGCUGUGGCCCAAAGAACAAUGGCUCCUCCUAUUGAUUCCUUGCAAGUUGACAAGUUGCCAACUUGUUGCUGUGUUGCCAGUUGCCACAUGCUACCACGAGUUAGGGUUUCCAAAUACGACGCCAUCAUACACAUUCAUACCCUCCAACCCUUAAAAUUCGCAUCGCUAGUAAGCCCCAAAUCGUACUCCGCCGCGAGUAUUAUACUUUUUUCUGCACCACCGCCACUGCGUCUAACCAUCCUUUUUACACGAUGAUCUGAACUAUUUUAACUUCUUCAGCAAGAAAUCGUUGUACUUUGAAGGCAAAAAAGGUCGAACCUGAUUUCAGAAUGUGAAUCAGACCAGAUCUGUAUCGAACAUCAUUAGGAUAUGAAGCAUCUGAAUCUUGAAUAUGCUGCUGAAUCAGGUGCAUGUUAAGUUGAGAAUUCUGAAGUAACUUGAGAAUCUGCAAAAUCUGAUUACCUUGAGAUUUAGCUUAAUUUAGAUGUCUUAUGUCAUUCCAAGAACUAUUGCUUUAAUUCUUAAUCAUUACUUUCAUUGACCAUUGACUUUGUUGAGAAUUGGGGGAUUUUUAACCAAAGUUUCCAUAAAGAUUUAAGAGCCAUAGAACUUGGAAUGACAUCAAACAGUUGAUCUGAGCUAAAUUUUAUGGUAACCAAUUUUUGCAAAUUCUUCUCAAAAGUUAUGGGUAACCAAUUGUAUACAACACAAGUUACAUGUUGGUAGAUAGUGGAAGCUAUAAAAACCAAGUUUGGUAAAUCAUUGGUCAAGGUAAGUCCGAUAUCUUUUAAGUUGCUAUAUUUUAUCUGUUUAUUCUUGUACUAAGUUUAUAUGUUGUAUAAAAGGUUCUACUUAUUAUAUGUAACAAAAAGUGUAGUAUUUGAUUAAUCGUAUAUCAAAGUAUCAAACCACGAAAGUAAUAUUGUGAUAAAAAAACCCUUGUACAUUAUGGUUGUUUAAUUUCCCUUUUCUUAUGUGAAAAUGGUGUAUAUGAUUUUUGAAAA